rnacentral:lncRNA from 1 species
CACAGAAGGAGGCCAGGUGUCACGGACUUAACGGUUUGGUUCGCAAAAUCCGUGCGGCGCUCGCCUUCCUCCGCGAAGUGAGCAAGCCUGUCUCUCUACUUGCUAAGUUAGGACCUCGCUCGCCCUAGACUAAGUACAAGAGAGAGAUAAGAAGAAAGCUCUUCUAUUACUUUAAACUUGAGAAUACAAAAGAGGAUUCUUAAAAUGAGAGGGGUGGAGGCCACACC